rnacentral:lncRNA from 1 species
UUUGUCCCUACUACAAACAUACCCAUAUUAACUACACGUUGAAUUCUUAAGAACACAAUAUGCUAUGCAUGUUUAAUCUUGACAACAUCAGUGGAAACUUUCAAACUAUAAUUCUUUGUUGAUUAUUCAAAUUUGAAAAAAAAUGAAUAAAAGAACGUAUGGCAAUGUGCAUAUAAUCCUCACCUUAAUAUCUAUCACAUCCGUUGGAGCAAAAACAAAUUGAUAACCUUCAAUAUGGGCUUCAACUUCGACCCUGGAAUACAUUAGGUUUCUAUAAUCCUCAAUACUUUUUGGUACAAAAUUAGAACUUAAGAGCUAGUUUGAUAACCAAUUCAUUUCAAGUCUUUAAUUUUAUUUUUACUUAUAUAGAUGGAUGAAAAAUAUGUGAUCUGAAGAUCAAUGAAGAUAGGCGAAGGAUAGAUGGUGAAAUCAAUGUGAAUUGGUGUUAUAAAAAGUGGUCUAGACAGCUAACCAACAUCACGAUUAAUAACUAGAGGGUUGGAAAAUCUGGUAUGGCAUCAACGUGAGUCUAGGCAUAAUAGGUGUCAUAUAAUCAAUUUAAUUAAGAAGAAAAAAAAAUCCUAGACCACAAAUUAAGACCCUACCCGCCGCUUGAUAACGACCUAGCAUUGUUUAAAACAAUGGUGUGAAUGGAGUAUGUCUGGAAAUCAAAAGCAAAAUUUCUUGAUUAUGCUCCCUCAGCUGGUUUACGGAUCACCCUCUUGAUUAUUCCUUCGAAUGGUGUAAAACCCAGGUUUGAAUGUUAUUACCCACAUCCCUUAGGUUGGAUAAACU